AAAUUGAAGAGUUUGAUCAUGGCUCAGAUUGAACGCUGGCGGCAGGCCUAACACAUGCAAGUCGAACGGUAACAGGAAGCAGCUUGCUGCUUUGCUGACGAGUGGCGGACGGGUGAGUAAUGUCUGGGAAACUUCCUGAUGGAGGGGGAUAACUACUGGAAACGGUGGCUAAUACCGCAUAACGUCGCAAGACCAAAGAGGGGGACCUUCGGGCCUCUUGCCAUCAGAUGUGCCCAGAUGGGAUUAGCUUGUUGGUGAGGUAACGGCUCACCAAGGCGACGAUCCCUAGCUGGUCUGAGAGGAUGACCAGCCACACUGGAACUGAGACACGGUCCAGACUCCUACGGGAGGCAGCAGUGGGGAAUAUUGCACAAUGGGCGCAAGCCUGAUGCAGCCAUGCCGCGUGUAUGAAGAAGGCCUUCGGGUUGUAAAGUACUUUCAGCGGGGAGGAAGGUGUUGUGGUUAAUAACCGCAGCAAUUGACGUUACCCGCAGAAGAAGCACCGGCUAACUCCGUGCCAGCAGCCGCGGUAAUACGGAGGGUGCAAGCGUUAAUCGGAAUUACUGGGCGUAAAGCGCACGCAGGCGGUCUGUCAAGUCGGAUGUGAAAUCCCCGGGCUCAACCUGGGAA
rnacentral:rRNA from 1 species